rnacentral:rRNA from 1 species
AAAGGAGAUCCUGAAACCGUGUGCCUGCAAAUAGUCAGAGCCCGUUAAUGGGUGAUGGCGUGCCUUUUGUAGAAUGAACCGGCGAGUUACGAUCCCGUGCGAGGUUAAGCUGAAGAGGCGGAGCCGCAGCGAAAGCGAGUCUGAAUAGGGCGUUUAGUACGUGGUCGUAGACCCGAAACCAGGUGAUCUACCCAUGUCCAGGGUGAAGUUCAGGUAACACUGAAUGGAGGCCCGAACCCACGCACGUUGAAAAGUGCGGGGAUGAGGUGUGGGUAGCGGAGAAAUUCCAAUCGAACCUGGAGAUAGCUGGUUCUCCCGAAAUAGCUUUAGGGCUAGCCUUAAGUGUAAGAGUCUUGGAGGUAGAGCACUGAUUGGACUAGGGGUCCUCAUCGGAUUACCGAAUUCAGUCAAACUCCGAAUGCCAAUGACUUAUCCUUAGGAGUCAGACUGCGAGUGAUAAGAUCCGUAGUCAAAAGGGAAACAGCCCAGACCGCCAGGCUAAGGUCCCAAAGUGUGUAUUAAGUGGAAAAGGAUGUGGAGUUGCUUAGACAACUAGGAUGUUGGCUUAGAAGCAGCCACCAUUUAAAGAGUGCGUAAUAGCUCACUAGUCGAGUGACUCUGCGCCGAAAAAUGUACCGGGGCUAAAUACACCACCGAAGCUGCGGAUUGAUACCAAUGGUAUCAGUGGUAGGGGAGCGUUCUAAGGACAGUGAAGUCAGACCGGAAGGACUGGUGGAGUGCUUAGAAGUGAGAAUGCCGGUAUGAGUAGCGAAAGACGGGUGAGAAUCCCGUCCACCGAAUGCCUAAGGUUUUCCUGAGGAAGGCUCGUCCGCUCAGGGUUAGUCAGGACCUAAGCCGAGGCCGACAAGGCGUAGGCGGAUGGACAACAGGUUGAUAUUCCUGUACCACCUCUUUAUCGUUUGAGCAAUGGAGGGACCAGAAGGAUAGAAGAAGCGUGCGAUUGGUUGUGCACGUCCAAGCAGUUAGGCUGAUAAGUAGGCAAAUCCGCUUAUCGUGAAGGCUGAGCUGUGAUGGGGAAGCUCCUUAUGGAGCGAAGUCUUUGAUUCCCCGCUGCCAAGAAAAGCUUCUAGCGAGAUAAAAGGUGCCUGUACCGCAAACCGACACAGGUAGGCGAGGAGAGAAUCCUAAGGUGUGCGAGAGAACUCUGGUUAAGGAACUCGGCAAAAUGACCCCGUAACUUCGGGAGAAGGGGUGCUUUCUUAACGGAAAGCCGCAGUGAAUAGGCCCAAGCGACUGUUUGCAAAAACACAGCUCUCUGCGAAGCCGUAAGGCGAAGUAUAGGGGGUGACACCUGCCCGGUGCUGGAAGGUUAAGGAGAGGGGUUAGCGUAAGCGAAGCUCUGAACUGAAGCCCCAGUAAACGGCGCCGUAACUAUAACGGUCCUAAGGUAGCGAAAUUCCUUGUCGGGUAAGUUCCGACCCGCACGAAAGGUGUAACGAUUUGGGCACUGUCUCAACCAGAGACUCGGUGAAAUUAUAGUACCUGUGAAGAUGCAGGUUACCCGCGACAGGACGGAAAGACCCCGUGGAGCUUUACUGUAGCCUGAUAUUGAAUUUUGGUACAGUUUGUACAGGAUAGGCGGGAGCCUUUGAAACCGGAGCGCUAGCUUCGGUGGAGGCGCUGG